GCGUCGGUAGUGCAGUGGUCAGCAUGCGCUCCUGGAAAGAGUGAGAUCUGGGUUCGAAUCCUGUUUGACGCA